rnacentral:tRNA from 1 species
GGAGAGCUGUCUGAGCGGCUGAAGGAGCUCGCCUGGAAAGCGGGUAUAGGUUAAUACCUAUCGGGGGUUCGAAUCCCCCGCUCUCCGCCA